CCUACGGGAGGCUGCAGUGAGGAAUAUUGGUCAAUGGGCUUACGCCUGAACCAGCCACGUCGCGUGAGGGAAGACUGCCCUAUGGGUUGUAAACCUCUUUUGUCAGGGAGCAACUCCGGCUACGUGUAGCCUGACUGAGAGUACCUGAAGAAAAAGCAUCGGCUAACUCCGUGCCAGCAGCCGCGGUAAUACGGAGGAUGCGAGCGUUAUCCGGAUUUAUUGGGUUUAAAGGGAGCGUAGGUGGAUUGUUAAGUCAGUUGUGAAAGUUUGCGGCUCAACCGUAAAAUUGCAGUUGAAACUGGGAGUCUUGAGUACAGUAGAGGUGAGUGGAAUUCGUGGUGUAGCGGUGAAAUGCUUAGAUAUCACGAAGAACUCCGAUUGCGAAGGCAGCUCACUGGACUGCAACUGACACUGAGGCUCGAAAGUGUGGGUAUCAAACAGGAUUAGAUACCCGGGUAGUC
rnacentral:rRNA from 1 species